rnacentral:tRNA from 1 species
CCUCAUAGCUCAGUUGGUAGAGAAUCUGCCUGCAGUGCAGGAGACCUAGGUUCAAUCCUUGGAUCAGGA